rnacentral:tRNA from 1 species
GGGGCUAUAGCUCAGCAGUGCAGCACCUGCCUGGCAAGCAUGAGGUCUUGAGUUAGAUUCCCUGUACCACCC